AGUGAUCUAUGAAGCCAUGAGGCAGGUUCUCGCCGCUCGCGCAAUUCACAACAUCUUCAAAACCACCGAAUCCCACCUGAUGGUCACCAGUACCUGCAUCAGAUUGAUCGAUCCACAGACACAAGUCACCAAAAUCAGUUUCCAGCUGAAGGACGUGACUCAGUUUGCCGCCCAUCAG